rnacentral:lncRNA from 1 species
GGGAUUUGUAGGUUAAACUCUUCUAAGAUUUGAAAGCUCUCCUUUAUUGGUAUAGGCACAAAAAGAAUAGAGCUACCCAGUUACCAAAUCAUUACAGCACGCUUGGGCUUUGGCAAACAGCAGCUUCAGUAUGAAAUAAUCUACAUUCUCUAAAAUGGUUACACAGAAGAGUAUUUGCAAGACUCAACCUGUAAUAAAGCAAAAAAUACCCCCAGUUUUUUUAAACACCAAAAAUUAAUCUGUGUACUUUUUAUUUUAUACCCAAAUAAAUCCUUUUAUUGAAUUUGUAUACUUUAAAUGUAAAAUUUAAGUUACUAAACUAUA